CAGUCGCCGCGGUAAUACGUAGGUGGCAAGCGUUGUCCGGAAUUAUUGGGCGUAAAGGGCUCGCAGGCGGUUUCUUAGGUCUGAUGUGAAAGCCCCCGGCUCAACCGGGGAGGGUCAUUGGAAACUGGGAAAUUUGAGUGCAGAAGAGGAGAGUGGAAUUCCACGUGUAGCGGUGAAAUGCGUAGAGAUGUGGAGGAACACCAGUGGCGAAGGCGACUCUCUGGUCUGUAACUGACGCUGAGGAGCGAAAGCGUGGGGAGCGAACAGGAUUAGAUACCCGGGUAGUCCCUGUCUCUUAUAC
rnacentral:rRNA from 1 species